CGACUACAUGAAGCUGGAAUCGCUAGUAAUCGCGGAUCAGAAUGCCGCGGUGAAUACGUUCCCGGGUCUUGUACACACCGCCGUCACACCAUGGGAGUCGGAAAUGCCCGAAGUCUGUGACCCAACCUUAGGGAGGGAGCAGCCGAAGGCAGGUCGGAUGACUGGGGUGAAGUCGUAACAAGGUAAC
rnacentral:rRNA from 1 species